rnacentral:rRNA from 1 species
UACGGGGGGGGCAAGCGUUGUUCGGAAUUACUGGGCGUAAAGGGCUCGUAGGUGGCCAACUAAGUCAGACGUGAAAUCCCUCGGCUUAACCGGGGAACUGCGUCUGAUACUGGAUGGCUUGAGUUCGGGAGAGGGAUGCGGAAUUCCAGGUGUAGCGGUGAAAUGCGUAGAUAUCAGGAGGAACACCGAUGGCGAAGGCAGGUCUCUGGGCCAUAACUGACGCUGAGAAGCGAAAGCAUGGGGAGCGAACAGG